rnacentral:rRNA from 1 species
CCUACGGGUGGCUGCAGUGGGGAAUAUUGGACAAUGGGGGGAACCCUGAUCCAGCCAUGCCGCGUGUGUGAAGAAGGCCCUCGGGUUGUAAAGCACUUUCAGUGAGGAAGAACGCCUGGUGGUUAAUACCCAUCAGGAAAGACAUCACUCACAGAAGAAGCACCGGCUAACUCCGUGCCAGCAGCCGCGGUAAUACGGAGGGUGCGAGCGUUAAUCGGAAUUACUGGGCGUAAAGCGCGCGUAGGUGGCUUGAUAAGCCGGUUGUGAAAGCCCCGGGCUCAACCUGGGAACGGCAUCCGGAACUGUCAAGCUAGAGUGCAGGAGAGGAAGGUAGAAUUCCCGGUGUAGCGGUGCAAUGCGUAGAGAUCGGGAGGAAUACCAGUGGCGAAGGCGGCCUUCUGGACUGACACUGACACUGAGGUGCGAAAGCGUGGGUAGCAAACAGGAUUAGAUACCCCAGUAGUC